AACGAACGCUGGUGGUAUGCUUAACACAUGCAAGUCAAACGAACACGGCCUAGCUUGCUAGGCACGGUUAGUGGCAGACGGGUGAGUAAUGUAUAGGAAUCAACCCAGUAGUAAGGGAUAACUCAUGGAAACAUGGGCUAAUACUGUAUAACACCGGUUCAGUAAUCAGAGGUUAGUUGUUUGACCGACUUUUGAUUUCUGAAUCGGGAAAGACUUCGGUCGCUAUUGGACGAGCCUAUAUCAGAUUAGCUUGUUGGUGGGGUAAAGGCCUACCAAGGCUGUGAUCUGUAGCUGGUUUGAGAGAAUGAUCAGCCACACUGGGACUGCGACACGGCCCAG
rnacentral:rRNA from 1 species